rnacentral:rRNA from 1 species
GAAGUUUUAUUUUAACCGCCGCAGUAUUUUGACUGUGCAAAGGUAGCAUAAUAAUUAGUUUCUUGAUUGGAAGCUUGUAUGAAAGGUUUAAUGAAAAAAAUUCUGUCUCAGGUUUAAUUUUUGAAUUUUAUUUUUAAGUAAAAAAGCUUAAAUUUUUUAAAAAGACGAGAAGACCCUAUAGAGUUUUAUAUUUGUAUAUGUAGUAUGAAUUAGUAUAAUUUAUUUUAUGUAAAAGUAAGUAUUUGAUUGGGGUGAUUGAAAAAUUUAAUUAACUUUUUUUGUUUUAAAAUAUUUAUAUAUAGGUAUAUGAUCCUUUUUUUGAGAUUAAAAGUUUAAAUUACCUUAGGGAUAACAGCGUUAUUUUUUCUAAGAGUUCUUAUCGAAGAAAGAGUUUGCGACCUCGAUGUNGGGAUUAAA